GUCACUGUCAGGCCUCUGAGCCCAAGCUAAGCCAUCAGAUCCCCUGUGACCUGCACAUGUACAUCCAGACGGCUUGAAGUAACUGAAGAAUCACAAAAGAAGUGAAAUUUAAAUGGCCUGUUCCUGCCUUAACUGAUGACAUUCCACCAUAAAAGAAGUGAAAAUGGCUGGUCCCUGCCUUAACUGAUGACAUUACCUUGUGAAAUUCCUUCUCCUGGCUCAUCCUGGCUCAAAAAGCUCCCCCACUGAGCACCUUGUGACCCCCACUCCUGCCUGCCAGAGAACAACCCUGCUUUGACUGUAAUUUUCCUUUACUUACCCAAAUCUUAUAAAACGGCCCCACCCCUAUCUCCCUUUCCUGACUCUCUUUUCGGACUCAGCCUGCCUGCACCCAGGUGAUUAAAAGCUUUAUUGCUCACACAAAGCCUGUUUGGUGGUCUCUUCACACGGACGCGAGUGAAGUUUGGUGCCAUGACUCGGAUCAGGGGACCUCCCUUGGGGGAUCAAUCCCCUGUCCUCCUGCUUUUUGCUCCAUGAGAAAGAUCCACCUACCACCUCAGGUCCUCAGACCGACCAGCCCAAGGAACAUCUCACCAAUUUCAAAUCGGUGCCGCUUGACCCGCAAUGCCGCUUGACAAACUCGACAGUGGUUCCAAAUAGCCAGAAAAUGGCACUUUCAAUUUUUCCAUCCUACAAGAUCUAAAUAAUUCUUGUCCUAAAAUAGGCAAACAGUCUGAGGUGCCUGACGCCCAGACAUUCUUUUACACAUUGUCCCCUCCCUAGUCUCAGUUCCCAAUGGGACUCGUCCCAAAUCCUCCUCCUUUCCCUCUCACCUGUCCCCUCAGUCCCAACCCCAGGCGUCGCUGAGUCUUUCUAAUCUUCCUUCUCUACAGACCCGUUUGACCUCUCCCCUCCUCCCCAGGCUGCUCCUCGCCAGGCCCAGCUAGGUCCCAAUUCUUCCUCAGCCUCUGCUCCUCCACCCUAUAAUCUUUUUAUCAACUCCCCUCCUCACACCCGGUCUGGCUUACAGUUUCGUUCCUUGACUGGCCCUCCCCAACCUGCCCAGCAAUUUCCUCUUAAAAACGUGGCUGGAGCUAAAGGCAUAGUCAAGGUUAAUGCUUCUUUUUAUUUAUCCGACCUGUCCCAAUCAGUUAGCAUUUAGGCUGUUUUUCAUCAAAUAUGAAAAACUCAGCCCAGUUCACGGCUCGUUUGGCAGCAACCCUGAGACGCUUUACAGCCCCAGACCCUAAAAGGUCAAAAGGCCGUCUUAUUCUCAAUAUACAUUUUAUUUCCCAAUCCGCUCCCGACUUUAAAUAAAGCUCCAAAAAUUAAAUUCCGGCUCUCAAACCCCACAACAGGACUUAAUUAACCUCGCUUUCAAGGUGUACAAUAACAGAAAAAAGUUGCAAUUCCUUGCCUCCACUGUGAGACAAACCCCAGCCACAUCUCCAGCACACAAGAACUUUCAAACGCCUAAACCACAGUGGCCAGGCAUUCCUCCAGGCCCGCCUCACCCAGGAGCUUGCUACAAGUGCCAGAAAUCUGGCCACCAGGCCAAGGAAUGCCUGCAGCCCGGGAUUCCACCUAAGCCGCAUCCCAUCUGUGAGGGACCCCACUGAAAAUUGGACUGUUCAACUCACCUGGCAGCCACUCCCAGAGCCCCUGGAACUCUGGCCCAAGGCUCUCUGACUCCUUCUCAGAUCUUCUCGGCUUAGCGGCUGAAGACUGACACUGCCUGAUGGCCUCGGAAGCCCCCUAAACCAUCACAGAUGCCGAGCUUUGGGUAACUCUCACAAGGGAAGAGAGAAAACUGCAACCCAAGAAGCUUCUACUUCUUGUCUUCUGGAACUCUAUCUGGGGUCUCUGAGUUGCUGAAAAGAAGCCUGACUACCCACCUACACAUGCUAGAGAACAUCUAGACACUCCAUUCCCACCAAUGUGUUAAACAUUGAGUGAGCUGUCGUAGACCAUACUUACUCGUUCACCAGAUGAAUUCCACCUAGUGACUUCAGCUUAUAUCAUGUGAAGAAGAAAAAUUGCCAAC